rnacentral:rRNA from 1 species
UGGCGGACGGGUGAGUAAUGUCUGGGAAACUGCCUGAUGGAGGGGGAUAACUACUGGAAACGGUAGCUAAUACCGCAUAACGUCGCAAGACCAAAGAGGGGGACCUUAGGGCCUCUUGCCAUCGGAUGUGCCCGGAUGGGAUUAGCUUGUUGGUGGGGUAACGGCUCACCAAGGCGACGAUCCCUAGCUGGUCUGAGAGGAUGACCAGCCACACUGGAACUGAGACACGGUCCAG